rnacentral:rRNA from 1 species
CAGUCGCCACGGUAAUACGAAGGGGGCUAGCGUUGUUCGGAAUUACUGGGAGUAAAGCGCACGUAGGCGGACAUUUAAGUCAGGGGUGAAAUCCCGGGGCUCAACCCCGGAACUGCCUUUGAUACUGGGUGUCUAGAGUAUGGAAGAGGUGAGUGGAAUUCCGAGUGUAGAGGUGAAAUUCGUAGAUAUUCGGAGGAACACCAGUGGCGAAGGCGGCUCACUGGUCCAUUACUGACGCUGAGGUGCGAAAGCGUGGGGAGCAAACAGGAUUAGAUACCCCCGUAGUCCCUGUCUCUUAUAC